rnacentral:rRNA from 1 species
GCGUAGGGUGYGUAGGCGGRWAGUUCAAUUUAGCGUAAAAGACUGAGGGAGGGCCCUCUUUAAUCGCUAUUCACUGUCUAUCUUGAGUUCUAUGGGUGAUUACUUGAACUCCUUAAGUAUGGGUAAAAUAGACGAUAUUGGAGGACAUUCGAUGGCGAAAGCAAGAAUCAACGUGGAUCUGACGCUAGGCACGAGAGUAUGGGUAUGAAGUGGAUUAGAGACCAUGUAGUCCAUACCGUAAACAAUGAGUGUUCAACGUCCUUUAGGAAAGCUUCUAGAUAUGCUUGCUAGUUUUAUACGGCUAGAUAAAGCAGAGAGAAGAAAGGACCUAAUGGGGGUUUACAGCUAACGCGUGAAACACCGCCUGGGGAAUGUGGCCGCAAGGUUAAACUCAAAGGAAUUGACGGGGGCUUGUACAAGG